rnacentral:rRNA from 1 species
GUGGGGAAUCUUCCGCAAUGGACGAAAGUCUGACGGAGCAACGCCGCGUGAGUGAAGAAGGUUUUCGGAUCGUAAAGCUCUUUCGUUAGGGACGAACGUGCUCUUUGUGAAUAAUGAGGAGUAAUGACGGUACCUAAAUAAGAAGCCACGGCUAACUACGUGCCAGCAGCCGCGGUAAUACGUAGGUGGCAAGCGUUGUCCGGAAUUAUUGGGCGUAAAGCGCGCGCAGGCGGGAUAUCAAGUCUGUCUUAAAAGUGCGAGGCUCAACCUCGUGAGGGGACAGAAACUGGUAUUCUUGAGUGUCGGAGAGGAAAGUGGAAUUCCAAGUGUAGCGGUGAAAUGCGUAGAGAUUUGGAAGAACACCAGUGGCGAAGGCGACUUUCUGGACGAUGUCUGACGCUGAGGCGCGAAAGCUAGGGGAGCGAACGGGAGUAGAAACCCGAGUAGUCC